UACGGAGGAUGCAAGCGUUAUCCGGAAUGAUUGGGCGUAAAGCGUCCGCAGGUGGCUGUGUAAGUCUGCUGUCAAAGAGCAAAGCUCAACUUUGUAAAGGCAGUGGAAACUACACGGCUAGAGUGCGUUCGGGGCAGAGGGAAUUCCUGGUGUAGCGGUGAAAUGCGUAGAUAUCAAGAGGAACACCUGAGGUGAAGACGGGUUGCUGGGCUGACACUGACGCUGAGGCGCGAAAGCCAGGGGAGCAAACGGG
rnacentral:rRNA from 1 species